rnacentral:rRNA from 1 species
GACGAACGCUGGCGGCGUGCUUAACACAUGCAAGUCGAACGGAAAGGCCUGCUUUCCCUUGUGGAUUGCGGGUGCUCGAGUGGCGGACGGGUGAGUAACACGUGAGUGAUCUGCCCCCAACUUGGGUAUAAGCCUGGGAAACUGGGUCUAAUUCCCGAUAGGACUGCAGGGUGGUGCCUGUGGUGGAAAACGAUUUUCUAGUGGUUGGGGAUGAGCUCGCGGCCUAUCAGCUUGUUGGUGGGGUAAUGGCCUACCAAGGCGGCGACGGGUAGCGGGCCUGAGAGGGUGGACGGCCACAUUGGGACUGAGAUACGGCCCAGACUCCUACGGGAGGCAGCAGUGGGGAAUAUUGCACAAUGGGCGGAAGCCUGAUGCAGCGACGCCGCGUGGGGGAUGACGGCCUUCGGGUUGUAAACUCCUUUCGACCGCGAGGAAGCCACCUGGUUGGAAGGGUGGUGACGGUAGUGGGAGAAGAAGCACCGGCUAACUACGUG